GGGGUUGACUGGAUUUGACAGCGGGUUGAGAUGGUACGUAAGCACGCGGAGGCUUCUUGGUUCCCUCCAUAAUCUGAGUCAGGAGAAAAUUAAUUGGCGAAAGAAAUUACGCUCUCGCUGCCUGAUCGAAGCAUAGUAGAUUGAGGCUCAAUUCCGUCACCAGGUGAUGGAACGAGACGUCGCUCCGAGGAUGUUGUUCCGAAUCCAGAGAUCCAGCGGCGCAGGUUAAAUCGGAAAUAGUCUGGUCAGGCCUCGAUGAUCUGAUGAAACUUUAGAGGAUAAGGUUGCAGUUGGUGGCCUGGGUCUUGCUGCAGCACGAAAACGAAGUCCAGGAUAAGCGUGUAGAAAGCGUAUGGUUUCCCUGUUUGGACGAGGGUUCGACUCCCUCCAGCUCCACU
rnacentral:tmRNA from 1 species